GCUGCAGGUGAGGCAUUCGUUCCGAAUUAAUUUCGGGAAGGAAAGUCCGGACAGCACAGAGCGCCGCACCACCUAACGGGUGGCUGUUUUAAUCGAAACACGAGACAGUGCCACAGAGAAUAACUUCCCUGAUGCAAACCAGGGUAAAGGUGCAAACGUGAAGUAAGAGCUCACGCUUCAACGUGGUAACAUUUUGAAGGGGUAAACCUUGCGGGCUGUAAGGUCAAAUAUGUUCUGAAUUCUUUCUUUAGGGAAAGAGGUUUAGUUGCUCGCUGAACGUAUUGAAAGAUACCAUCAGGAUGGGUAGACCGCUACAUCUCUGCGGCGACGCAGAGAGCAGAUAAAUGAAUGCCAUCCAAUGCAAAUUGGAGACAGAAUCCGGCUUAUGAUCCUGCAGCUUUU
rnacentral:RNase_P_RNA from 1 species